rnacentral:lncRNA from 1 species
AUGCAUAUAAAAUGUUUUGAAGAGUGCCCAUAACAAAAAGAAAAUUUAUGUUAGGGGCCAGAAAAUACUUCCUUAAUCUUGAUGCAUCCUUCUAUCAUCAUAGGGACUCGCUUUAAAGAACUGGAGACAUCAGCUCAGCAAAUAAAACUAGAAUAAGGCAAGGAUGCUGCUUUGACAGAAAUGCUAGUUAGUGCCACUUAAGAGAGGCUACAAGGCAGUGGGGUAAGUACAAAGUUAGGAGAUGUGUGUCUGAAUUUCUUGCUUCUUUAGUCAACGGGUGGUGUAUAGACCAGCAGCAGCAGCAGCAGCAU